ACCUAUAUAGUUUAAGUUUAAAAAAUUUGGCUCUGUUGACUAAUGAGUUUGCCGACCACUGGCCCAGAGGCAGGACUGCUUGUUGAGACGGGCCGGUGGUUGUGGUAGUCGGGGUCCCAGCAGGAGACAGGAACACUCUGGUUGAGGCCACCUGAGGGUCUCCUAGGGGCAUCAGCACGAAGGCGGAGCAGGGCGUAGGAAACCCAAAUGGCAAGGACAUUUCUGGAAGAGAGGGUGACCUUGACAAAGGCAGGGCUGUAGGCGGAGGCCACAGUGACCCCCGCAGGCAAGGAGCUGGGGGUGAACAUCCCUGAUCAUUUCUCCCUUCUUCAGUCUUGGGAGCCCUCGCUGUGUCCACACAGGUGGCCUGCGGGCCCUGCAGCGGGCGGAGCAGGGUGGCAGUGGGUCAGGAAGGGCAGACUUCAGGCCCAGGUCACUGCCUUUAGGAAGUCAGGGCCCUGCCUCUCCUGGCCAGUUUGGCUGGACUCUUCACCUGCUAUGCUUCUGUGACGGACCCUGCAAGGGGAACGCUGGCAGGGACUUGGUGCUGUGUGUUCCUCCUGGGGCCUGCACACCCCCAGCCGUGGCUGGGUCCCACGCCAAGUGCCAGCAGCUCCUGGGACGCUGAGGAUGGUGCCGGUGGAGGGGCCAGCCUUGGACAGGCGCCCUCUGCUGUGAGCCCUUUUGUCUAGCACCUGCUCGGGCCAUGCCCUGAACCCCAGCAGCUCUGGCCUAGCCUUUGGUUUCACCUUGGCCAUAUCCAGGCAGCGGGCAGUGUGCACCAGACAGCGCAGGCACCACCCCUCGGUCCUCACUGGGAGGCCAAGGCAGACAGCGGCACCUUCUGCUCAAAUUCGCUUCUCCGGGCUCAUCCAGCCGGAACUGGCAGGUUGCGAGUGGACACCAGGCCUUCAGCCCACCAGACAGGGAGGGGUGCCCUGUGUCCUUGCCUUGAUGUGAGGGCUGUUGGGUGCAAUCAGGGGUGGGCAGGACGGAAAGAGUGGCCAGCAGGGUCCCACUCUGCCUUCCUUCCAGGGGACUCCUCUCCGGUCUGAGUGAAGACGUUGGACACGCUGGCCUCUGAGAGUGGCCACCAGGAGACACUGGUUUGUCCUGUCUCAGCCCGGCAGUCCCUGGACUAGAAGAGUCUUCCCUUCAGGGCGUGAGGCUGGCUCCUCCUGGAGCUCAGAUGAAGUGGAUGCUGGCGGCUGGGUGCCCAGGGAGGUGCCGCCCUCACUGCUCCUCUGCAGGGAGUCGGGUUCCUGGUUCUUGGCUGGUCUUGGGUGGCUCCAGGCCUGGCUUCUGACUGGCAUUCUCUGACCCAGGUUUUGGCACUGUGUCUCCGUCUGCUUCCCUCUGGCAUCUGAGUGGGAAAUGGGUGUUUAAUAAACAGGUUCCUAAUGA